rnacentral:lncRNA from 1 species
CAGCUCAGUAUUAUUCCUCUCAGAUGCUCUAAUCGAUACUUCAGCAAGUCAAUCUCCUCCUUUUCCAUCAUUGGAACAUCGAGGUUGGAACUGGCGAGGCUUGCUAAAUAUUGGCCCACAUGUACAAGGGAUCUUAAAGCAUUGGCAGAUCGCUUCUCCCCCCUUUGUUUGUUGAGGAACAACCUUUUGACUGGUGGUAUGAGGUUCCUCUAGUACUCCACCGUAGAUUGGAAGAUCUCUCCUAUGGAUGGAGCAUGAGACAUC